CACCCUGCAGCUCCUCUGGGUCCUUCUUGCGCGAGCACAGAGCGUUGCCGCGGUUACCAUGGCAACAUUACUGCUCUUGCGAGAGUCAACUCUAGCCCUGGAGCUACGGGCUAGAGUUCACUCUCAACACUGUAACCCCCAUGGAUUCCUGGUGGUCGCAGUGGUAAGAGUGAACUCUAGCCCCAUAAACACACUGCCCCCACACACACACCAUACACAUUCACACACUGCCCCCAUACACACCAUACACAUUUACACACAUUGCCUCACACAUACAC